AGUUUACCUAAAAGGCAAAAAAAAAGUUCAUUUUGUAAACACACACAGCACAAUGCUAAAAAUGCCAAUGCAGAUUUCUAUGUCAACACAGACAUUCCUUUCCCUUUACUGAUUUCAACCUAAUAGAACACUUAAAAAAUAUCAUUCAUAUAGUUUCAGGAGGUGAAAUCUGUUAUAAGAGCAUGGACUCAACAAUCUUGCAACAGAAGGGCUCCUUUAUGACAUUUAGGAGAGAAGGAUCCCUGCUGCAUCUUUGUUCGUGUGCAAUUCACUGAUUUUUUGCAAAGAGCUGAGGAGGAUCAAGAAAAAAGCAAACCCCCAAAGCCCAAGGAUCCUUGCUAUAAGCACUGCAUUAUCAGCUUUGGGAUUAUGAACAGGGAAAAUGAGUGCUCCCAAUGCUGUCUGGACCUCGCAGAACAAUCAAGUGUUGUGGGCAAAGGAGGAGUUGUGAUUUAACAGGGUGCAAAUCCAUUUUAUAUAAUUUGGAUUAAACACCAAGAGGCUAGAAGACCCUUUGCAGAAAGGAUCCACACAAAACCAGGAAGAUACUCCCAUCUUGAUUUCUGCUUUUUCAUCAUGCAAUGCAAUGCAUUUAUCAUUAUCAUGAAAGAAAACAGGUAAAAUGGCCAAGUAUGGACGUUCUGUACCACAAAGAUCGUCCGAGCUGCUGGGAGAUGACAUGACAGCCUCAGGAGCAGUCAGUGACAAAUUGCUGGCCAGCAGUCAGAUAUCUGCCCCCCUCAUGCCUCACCAUGCUGCUCUGUAUUCCUUGCACACUCACUUUUCAGAUUGAUCCUGAGUUCUUGAAUA